UGGGGAAUAUUGCACAAUGGGCGCAAGCCUGAUGCAGCCAUGCCGCGUGUGUGAAGAAGGCCUUCGGGUUGUAAAGCACUUUCAGCGGGGAGGAAGGCGAUAAGGUUAAUAACCUUGUCGAUUGACGUUACCCGCAGAAGAAGCACCGGCUAACUCCGUGCCAGCAGCCGCGGUAAUACGGAGGGUGCAAGCGUUAAUCGGAAUUACUGGGCGUAAAGCGCACGCAGGCGGUCUGUCAAGUCGGAUGUGAAAUCCCCGGGCUCAACCUGGGAACUGCAUUCGAGACUGGCAGGCUAGAGUCUUGUAGAGGGGGGUAGAAUUCCAGGUGUAGCGGUGAAAUGCGUAGAGAUCUGGAGGAAUACCGGUGGCGAAGGCGGCCCACUGGACAAAGACUGACGCUCAGGUGCGAAAGCGUGGGGAGCAAACAGG
rnacentral:rRNA from 1 species